rnacentral:rRNA from 1 species
UGGCGGACGGGUGAGUAACGCGUAGGGAUCUAUCCAUGGGUGGGGGACAACUCCGGGAAACUGGAGCUAAUACCGCAUGAUACCUGAGGGUCAAAGGCGCAAGUCGCCUGUGGAGGAACCUGCGUUCGAUUAGCUAGUUGGUGGGGUAAAGGCCUACCAAGGCGAUGAUCGAUAGCUGGUUUGAGAGGAUGAUCAGCCACACUGGGACUGAGACACGGCCCAGACUCCUACGGGAGGCAGCAGUGGGGAAUAUUGGACAAUGGGCGAAAGCCUGAUCCAGCAAUGCCGCGUGUGUGAAGAAGGUCUUCGGAUUGUAAAGCACUUUCGACGGGGACGAUGAUGACGGUACCCGUAGAAGAAGCCCCGGCUAACUUCGUGCCAGCAGCCGCGGUAAUACGAAGGGGGCUAGCGUUGCUCGGAAUGACUGGGCGUAAAGGGCGCGUAGGCGGUUGAUGCAGUCAGAUGUGAAAUCCCCGGGCUUAACCUGGGAACUGCAUUUGAGACGCAUUGACUAGAGUUCGAGAGAGGGUUGUGGAAUUCCCAGU